GCCGCUCGCACCUCACUGGACGGGGCACCGGACUGUAAAUCCGGCGUAGCGAUGCAACAGGGUUCGAUUCCCUGGGGCGGCACCA
rnacentral:tRNA from 1 species